GCGUCCUACGGGGGGCAGCAGUGGGGAAUAUUGGGCAAUGGAGGAAACUCUUACCCAGCAAUGCCGCGUGAAUGAAGAAGCGCCUCGGCGCGUAAAGCCCUGUCAGCAGGGAAGAAAAUGACGGUACCUGAAGAAGAAGCCCCGGCUAACUACGUGCCAGCAGCCGCGGUAAUACGUAGGGGGCAAGCGUUAUCCGGAUUUACUGGGUGUAAAGGGGGCGCAGACGGCGAUGCAAGCCAGGAGUGAAAGCCCGGGGCCCAACCCCGGGACUGCUCUUGGAACUGCGUGGCUGGAG
rnacentral:rRNA from 1 species